CCCUUCUCAGGGUCGCACCUGGAGAGUUUCCAGUCCUCUACCAGCCUCGACUACCGGAGGGAAAAUCAAGCAGAGGCACACCCAUUACAUUCCUAGCUUGGGUAGUGGAUAGAGAGUGGAAGGCAAUCUGCUACAAGU